rnacentral:snRNA from 1 species
AGAUUCCCACUGUCCCUGU